UACGUAGGGGGCAAGCGUUGUCCGGAUUCAUUGGGCGUAAAGAGCGUGUAGGCGGCCAGGUAGGUCGGUUGUGAAAACUGGAGGCUCAACCUUCAGAGGUCGACCGAAACCAUCUGGCUAGAGUCCGGGAGAGGAGAGCGGAAUUCCUGGUGUAGCGGUGAAAUGCGCAGAUAUCAGGAAGAACACCCGUGGCGAAAGCGGCUCUCUGGAACGGUACUGACGCUGAGACGCGAAAGCCAGGGGAGCGAACGGG
rnacentral:rRNA from 1 species